rnacentral:misc_RNA from 1 species
CAAAACUGAUUACAAAUGUGAAUCUUGAAUCUGAAGACUAUGUUAUCUAACAGUAGACGCAACAGUAUGAGCCCACCACUUAAGAUUAUCUUUCAUGUCCAUCUCAUUACUCAAAGCAGGAAUUCUCCAAUUCAUCAGAGAAUCGUCUUUCUUUCUCCUUUCCAGGCCACUCCAUGCUUCAGAAAGAUAGGGCCUUGAAAUUGUGGCCUCAUCAACUCGACUCUCUCCUGCUCCAUCUUUCUUUCCCAGUCUUUGUAACCCUGGAAUUAUUGAAACCAAACUUGAAUCCUUGUCUUCCUCAGAAAACAGAAAACCCAAGUCCAUAAACCCUUUAAGCUCUUCAAAUUCCAAUUCUGACAAACUCUUGUUCAAAGUUUUCUUCCCUCUUCUCCUGCUUCUCGUCUUACUUAUAGGUGAUUCUCGGACAUAUAGUUUCUGUGUUUGUAUUGGCACAGAAUUUUCUCCCUCUUCUUCUGUAAUUUCCUUGCUUGAAAGAUUGGUUUCGAGCUUUGGCGUGGGGAGGACUGAGUCCGGAGAGAGAGAAAAACCAGAACCGAGGCUUGCUUUAGGCCACAAUUGAUCACUCAUAGACCUUGAAAUGAUUGUUUGCACUCUGUAAAUCUCUGGUUUUGGCGCUUCUUUCUGAUUUUGUUGAUCUGGGUUGGCAUCAACACCUGAUGAUUUUAAUAAACGUGAUUGUUUCUUGAAAAUUUCCAUCUCAAACCAGCACGAAUCAAAGAGCUCAAUAAAUUCUUUCGC